AAUUGGCCACUAUGGUCACUUAUGACAGAAAUAAACAAUCAAACAAUUUUUAGUUCUUAUUAUUUAAUUAUUUUUGUUAAAAUCGCUUUUCACAACAAGCGUGGUGUGACAGGUUGUCAUGGUAACAUCGAUGUAAGGUUAAAUAAGGCUUCAGUUCAGAGACAAAGUUCAACUCUUACUGCGUGUUUUUGUCCAAAAGUAAAAGUUUGCUUCAAAGAAGUCAGUGCAGUGAUGCUGUGUGACCGGAACUACUUUUGAGGCGUGCAUCCACACCCAGCAGCCAAUCAGAACUGAGCAUUCACCUGGACUAAGGUGAUAUCAGACUUCCAUGUCUAAAGGAUUCUCAGCUCCACCGAGCGACCAGGAAAGCCGCGUGCUGCCGUCAGCCGACCGUCUCCUCUCCUCAUGCAAACACCAUGACAGAAAGUCGAAGCUGGAGCCUGAGCAGCGCUGCCAGAGGUGUUGAUGGUGUCCAGCAGGUCGGCUCGGUUCUUGUCGCUCUUGGGAAGCUCGGUCAGCUCCUUCCCGAUGACCUCGCCCCGCUGGUAUCCCAUCAUCCUCUCGAACGCAGGAUUCACAUACUGGAACAGUUUGAAUGUGUUUAAUAAAAUCAACAUUUAUAAACACUU